rnacentral:rRNA from 1 species
UACGUAGGGUGCGAGCGUUAAUCGGAAUUACUGGGCGUAAAGUGUGCGCAGGCGGCGCCGCAAGUCGAGUGUGAAAGCCCCGGGCUUAACUUGGGAAUUGCGCUCGAAACUAUGGUGCUGGAGUGUGGCAGAGGAAGGUGGAAUUCCACGUGUAGCGGUGAAAUGCGUAGAGAUGUGGGGGAACACCGAUGGCGAAGGCAGCCUUCUGGGCCAACACUGACGCUCAUGCACGAAAGCGUGGGGAGCAAACAGG